CAAGUCGAACGAAGCACGGUGGAAAGAGACUCGGUCAAUUGAAACUUGACUUAGUGGCGGACGGGUGAGUAAUGCAUGAGCAACCUGCCCUGGAGAGGGGGGACAACAGCGUGGAAACGGCUGCUAAUACCGCAUGAUGUCACCGGGAGGCAUCUCCUGGUGACCAAAGAUUUAUCGCUCUGGGAUGGGCUCAUGUCUGAUUAGAUAGUUGGCGGGGCAACGGCCCACCAAGUCUGCGAUCAGUAGCCGGACUGAGAGGUUGAACGGCCACAUUGGGACUGAGAUACGGCCCAGACUCCUACGGGAGGCAGCAGUGGGGAAUAUUGGGCAAUGGGCGCAAGCCCUGACCCAGCAACGCCGCGUGAAGGAAGAAGGCUUUCGGGUUGUAAACUUCUUUUAUCAGGGACGAAGAAAGUGACGGUACCUGAUGAAUAAGCCACGGCUAACUACGUGCCAGCCGCUGC
rnacentral:rRNA from 1 species